CAUCUUGAUUUACUGAGGGUGUAGUCACUCUUCGAAGUUUCUUCCUCAGCUUGGGGCCAGCCCAGACCAAAUGCGGUUUCCUCUCUUUGUGUGUGAGCCUGUGUGUGCAUGCGUGCAAGUGUGUAUGCGUGUUAGUCACCUGCCCUUCGCUGGCUGCAGGGUUCAUGUCCACUUGAGGGGCCCAGGACUCUCAAGACCUGCCCAACGUGCUGGGACCCAGCCAGGUACAAUUAUCCCAUGGUCCUUCAGGGAGCACCCUCAUUUCCAGACUUUCUGACCCCAUAAAGGUUUGGGAAUCACUGAGAGUCACUGCCCGAAAAGGUAGGUUUUUCUUCAGCAGGUGACAAACUUGGGAUCUAGGUGUGGUUCUCCACCAGCCCAGCUCUGACCUCGCCGGGGCCAAGGAGUUCUCACCAUGCUUGCCUCCCUUCCUCCCUGCAAUGCUCUCACCCUACAUGCUCCCUCUGCAGGAAUGCAGAACAGGAGGGGUUUUUAGGUGCCCUCUUGUCCGUGUGGCAGUGGAGGCCAGUGAAACUCAGAGGAAUGAAUGACUCACCAAGACCCCAUAGCAAGAUGGUGGCCGAUGGGAGACCAGGUCUCCUGCCUCUUUUUUUUUUUUUUAACAGCUUAUCAAGAUUUUAUGUAUCUUUAUUUUCAACACAUGGGACAUACAGUAUAAAGAUUCCCUACUGGACAAAUGAUAUUCAUUAAGCCAAAGGGGGGGGGGGAAGGAGGAAGUUGUACUGUUUUGACUACAAUGUUUAAAACACAGAUAUGCAAAAAAAAAAAAAAAAAAAAAAAAAAAAACACAGAUAUGCAGAUUUUACCCCCCCCCAAAAAAAAAAUCUGAGUUUUGUUUAUCAGGGACAUACAUUGAACCUCAGACUUUUUCACACCUCAGAAAGAAAACACAACCAAAAAACUCUGGAAAAAAUAGACCACAAGGGCUCUUUUGCGCUGAGCCGAAAGAGGUGACAUCUGGCCAGAGAUUAAAUGUCUGUGUCUCACUUUGUGCAGGUUACCAGCUUGCUUACUUGUGACACUAUAGAAAGGGGACCAAACUGUGGGGACCGAGGGAGUUACAUACAACAGGAACAUGGUCAUAUG
rnacentral:lncRNA from 12 species